rnacentral:rRNA from 1 species
UACGUAGGGGGCAAGCGUUAUCCGGAAUCAUUGGGCGUAAAGCGCGUGUAGGCGGUUCCGUAAGUCCGCUCUGAAAGCCCAGGGCCUACCACCGUGGAGGCGGGUGGAUACUACGGAACUGGAGUACGGAAGAGGAGAUUGGAAUUCCUGGUGUAGCGGUGAAAUGCGCAGAUAUCAGGAGGAACACCAACAGCGAAGGCAGAUCUCUGGGACGUUACUGACGCUGAGACGCGAAAGCGUGGGGAGCGAACAGG